rnacentral:lncRNA from 1 species
AAGCAGACGUGAUGAAUGAAAGGAAGGAAAAGGUACUGGAGGGUGAAUGAGUGAGCAGUUUUUAAUAAUGGACCAUAGAAUGUAAGCUGAGUCUAGAGGGAACUGAAGAUUUUAUGGGAGUGAGGGAUGGUGAAUGGAUGGAGCAUAGGUCCUAGUGAGGAUGAAGAAUUUUUGGAGUUGGAGUAUCGAGGAAUGGCAUGGAAAGAAGAGAUCAGUAGGUCUAAGAGUGGAUGCAUGAAAUGACCAAGUCUGGGGUAUAAUUAUCGGAGUUCCAUGGCAGGAGGUCAUUUGUAACUUGUGAAAGCAUGAACUUGGACUUCAUGGCUUUAAGCCUUAGCUGAUCAUAAUGCCUGGUUAUGGCAAAAAGACCGCAAUUCCCACCAGAGAGCAAAAAGGAAGUAAAGCUACCAUUGUUGAUCUGAAACUAAAUGGAUUCUUGUCCGUUGUGAGGAGCAGCAGCCUACAAAGCACACUGAAUGCCAAAUGUGUUGCACCAGGGCUACAGGGAGUCGACUGCUCACAGAAAGCAAGCAUUCUGUUCUAAUUCUGUGCUGUAAGCUUUGCAAUAAGAGGCUCCAUAUGAGAAGGCUGGUGGUUGCCCAGCUGGGCUUAUGACAGACACACCCAGAUGUUUUUAAUCUAUGCAAAAUAAUGAUGGAUACUUGCUACCUUCUUCAACUAAUUUUCAAGAUGUAUUUAUAUAAAAUAAAAGAGUCUUUUAAAGCACAACUUUUUUCAAAUGUAUUUGUUACUGCACCUUUUGCCCUGGAAAAUUAUUUUUCUAUUUUUAUUUUUAUUUUUUGAGACAGGGUCUCACUCUGUCACCCAGGUUGGAGUGCAGUGGUGUGAUCACAGAUCACUGCAGCCUCGACCCCCACAGGCUCAAGUGAUCCUCCCACCUCAGGCCCCUGAGUAGCUGGGACUACAGGCAUGCACCACUAUACCAGCUGAUUUUUAAAACUUUUUGUAGAGACAGAAUCUCACUACAUUGCCCAAGCUAGUCUCAAACUUCUGGUCUCGAGCCACCCUCCCACCUCAGCCUCCCAAUGUGCUGGGAUUACAGGCAUACGCCACCACACCCAGCCUUAUUAUUUUGCUCUUUAGAGAUAAGAUAUCCAAACUUCAAAAAUAUUGUUAAUUUGGUACAAGUUAAAUCUCAGAAAUUUUGGAAACAAUCGCCUUCUGUAAUAUAUGUAAAAUAUUAUACACAGUGUCUGGCAUACAGUUAGUGCUAAAUAAAAGUUUUUC